GUAAUACGAGACGCUACGGCGUCGAAGCAGUCUAUGUCAUACUUCCAAGAAAAGCUUGCACUGUCAUAAACAAAUAAUGCCUGUACCAUAACCGACACAGGUGGGUAGGUAGAGUAUACUAAGGGGCGCGAGAUAACUCUCUCUAAGGAACUCGGCAAAAUGACUCCGUAACUUCGGGAGAAGGAGUGCCUUAUUUAUAAGGUUGCAAUAACAAGAUCCAAGCAACUGUUUAUCAAAAACACAGGUCUCCGCUAAGUCGUAAGACGAUGUAUGGGGGCUGACGCCUGCCCAGUGCCAGAAGGUUAAAGAAGUUGGUUAGCAUUAGCGAAGCUGAUAACUGAAGCCCUGGUGAACGGCGGCCGUAACAAUAACGGUCCUAAGGUAGCGAAAUUCCUUGUCGGGUAAGUUCCGACCCGCACGAAAGGCGUAAUGAUUUGGAUACUGUCUCGGAGAGGGGCUCGGUGAAAUAGACUUGUCUGUGAAGAUGCGGACUACCUGCACCUGGACAGAAAGACCCUAUGAAGCUUUACUGUAACCUGAAAUUGAAAUUGGACUUUAUUUGCGCAGUAUAGGUGGGAGGCGUUGGGAAUAUUCUUGCGGGAAUAUUGGAGCCAUCAGUGAGAUACCACUCUUGUAAUGUUAGAUUUCUAACUUUGAAUCAUUAUCUGGUCAAAGAACAGUUUCAGGCGGGCAGUUUGACUGGGGCGGUCGCCUCCUAAAUGGUAACGGAGGCGCACAAAGGUUUCCUCUGAACGGGUAGAAAUCGUAUCUAGAGUGUAAAGGCAUAAGUAAGCUUGACUGUGAGACCUACAAGUCGAGCAGGGACGAAAGUCGGUCUUAGUGAUCUGACGGUGCUGAGUGGAAAGGCCAUCACUCAACGGAUAAAAGUUACUCUAAGGAUAACAGGCUGAUCUCCCCCAAGAGUUCGCAUCGACGGGGAGGUUUGGCACCUCGAUGUCGGCUCAUCGCAUCCUGGGGCGGUAGUACGUCCCAAGGGUUGGGCUGUUCGCCCAUGAAAGCGGUACGCGAGCUGGGUUCAGAACGUCGUGAGACAGUUCGGUCCAUAUCCGGUGUAGGCGUUAGAAUAUUGAGAGGAGCCUUCUUUAGUACGAGAGGACCGAGAAGGACAUACCUCUGGUGUACCAGUUAUCGUGCCAACGGUAAACGCUGGGUAGCUAUGUAUGGAGAGGAUAACCGCUGAAAGCAUCUAAGUGGGAAGCCCACCUCAAGAUAAGUAUUCUC
rnacentral:rRNA from 1 species